rnacentral:rRNA from 1 species
GGUCAAGCUACUAAGGGCGUACGGUGGAUGCCUUGGCGCCAGGAGUCGAUGAAGGACGUGGCAAGCUGCGAUAAGCUUCGGUGAGCUGCAAACAAGCGUUGACCCGGAGAUUUCCGAAUGGGGAAACCCACCCAGGGUAAUGCCUGGGUAUCUGCGGCUGAAUACAUAGGCCGUUGAGGACAACGCAGGGAAGUGAACCAUCUCAGUACCUGCAGGAAAAGAAAACAAUAGUGAUUCCGCUAGUAGCGGCGAGCGAACGCGGAACAGCCCAAACCGACGUGCUUGCAUGUCGGGGUUGUAGGGCCUGUCCGGCCGCGAGGCCGGCGAGUCAAAAACCAGCCUUCUAGUCGAACGAUCUGGAACGAUCGGCCAGAGACGGUGACAGCCCGGUAGACGAAAGGGGGCUGGCUCGCUGGACAGGUUCCUGAGUAGCGCGGGACACGGGGAAUCCCGCGUGAACCUGGGAGGACCAUCUCCCAAGGCUAAAUACUCCCUGGCGACCGAUAGUGAACCAGUACCGUGAGGGAAAGGUGAAAAGAACCCCUGUUAGGGGAGUGAAAUAGUACCUGAAACCGUAUGCCUACAAGCAGUGGGAGGGCUAUG